rnacentral:rRNA from 1 species
GAAAGGAUUUAUUCGGUAAAAGAUGGGCCCGCAUCUGAUUAGCUAGUUGGUGAGAUAAUAGCCCACCAAGGCAACGAUCAGUAGCCGACCUGAGAGGGUGACCGGCCACAUUGGGACUGAGACACGGCCCAAACUCCUACGGGAGGCAGCAGUGGGGAAUAUUGCACAAUGGGGGAAACCCUGAUGCAGCAACGCCGCGUGAAGGAAGACGGUUUUCGGAUUGUAAACUUCUAUCAAUAGGGAAGAAAGAAAUGACGGUACCUAAAUAAGAAGCCCCGGCUAACUACGUGCCAGCAGCCGCGGUAAUACGUAGGGGGCAAGCGUUAUCCGGAAUUACUGGGUGUAAAGGGAGAGUAGGCGGCAAGGUAAGCGAUAUGUGAAAGCCUUAGGCUUAACCUGAGGAUAGCAUAACGAACUAUCUAGCUAGAGUACAGGAGAGGAAAGCGGAAUUCUUAGUGUAGCGGUGAAAUGCGUAGAUAUUAGGAAGAACACCAGUGGCGAAGGCGGCUUUCUGGACUGAAACUGACGCUGAGGCUCGAAAGCGUGGGGAGCGAACAGGAUUAGAUACCCUGGUAGUCCACGCUGUAAACGAUGAGUGCUAGGUGUCGGGGAGGAAUCCUC